rnacentral:rRNA from 1 species
UACGUAGGGGGCAAGCGUUGUCCGGAAUCAUUGGGCGUAAAGCGCGUGUAGGCGGCUUGGCAAGUCGGUUGUGAAAUCCCGGGGCCCAACCCCGGAACUGCAUUCGAAACUGCCUCGCUAGAGUCCCGGAGAGGAAGGCGGAAUUCCCGGUGUAGAGGUGAAAUUCGUAGAUAUCGGGAGGAACACCAGCGGCGAAGGCGGCCUUCUGGACGGUGACUGACGCUGAGACGCGAAAGCGUGGGGAGCAAACAGG